rnacentral:rRNA from 1 species
GACGAACGCUGGCGGCGUGCUUAACACAUGCAAGUCGAACGGAAAGGCCCUGCUUGCAGGGUACUCGAGUGGCGAACGGGUGAGUAACACGUGGGUGAUCUGCCCUGCACUUCGGGAUAAGCCCGGGAAACUGGGUCUAAUACCGGAUAGGAGCCAUUUUUAGUGUGAUGGUUGGAAAGUUUUUUCGGUGUAGGAUGAGCUCGCGGCCUAUCAGCUUGUUGGUGGGGUAAUGGCCUACCAAGGCGGCGACGGGUAGCCGGCCUGAGAGGGUGGACGGCCACAUUGGGACUGAGAUACGGCCCAGACUCCUACGGGAGGCAGCAGUGGGGAAUAUUGCACAAUGGGCGCAAGCCUGAUGCAGCGACGCCGCGUGGGGGAUGACGGCCUUCGGGUUGUAAACUCCUUUCGCUAGGGACGAAGCUUUUGUGACGGUACCUAGAUAAGAAGCACCGGCUAACUACGUG